GGAGCGGUACUCAAGUGGCUUAAGAGUCCGGUCUUGAAAACCGGUAGGGCAUUCGCGUGUCGCGUGGGUUCGAAUCCCACCCGCUCCGCCA
rnacentral:tRNA from 2 species